AGGGUAGCAAUACCGCUGACGACCGGCGCACGGGUGAGUAACGCGUAUGCAACCUGCCUAUAAACUGGGGGAAUAGCUCCCUGAAAGGGGAAUUAACACCGCAUAACACUAUUGAUUCGCAAUGGAUUAGUAGUUAAAUGUAGCGAUACAGGUUAUAGAUGGGCAUGCGUGACAUUAGCUAGUUGGUGAGGUAACGGCUCACCAAGGCUACGAUGUCUAGGGGUUCUGAGAGGAAGGUCCCCCCACACUGGUACUGAGACACGGACCAGACUCCUACGGGAGGCAGCAGUGAGGAAUAUUGGUCAAGUGGGCGCAAGCCUGAACCAGCCAUGUCGCGUGCAGGAAGAACUGCCCUAUGGGUUGUAAACUGCUUUUAUAGUAGAAGAAACACAUCUACGUGUAGAUGUCUGCCAGUAUACUAUGAAUAAGCAUCGGCUAACUCCGUGCCAGCCGCCGC
rnacentral:rRNA from 1 species